ensembl:lncRNA C2orf74-DT C2orf74 divergent transcript
AGACCUGAAGGCUGCUUCCGCUAACCCGGGCUGGCGCUGCUAACCUCACCCAACGAUCCCUGCUGUCGGAAAAUGUCCAGAGGCACCAUCCCUGCUAUGAAGAGGGAAUGCCAGUACAACAGCCACAAGGGGUCUUCCUGUGGCCCUCAAACAAAAAAUCACUGCAUUACAUCAGCAGACUGCAUUGGAGAGAAAGGCGCCGGGACAGAAAAGCCUGAGAUAAACCACCUGUCAUUCUUGGAGAAAAGGAUGCUGCGGCUUUCCCGAUUUGGUUGAUGAGAUGGAAAAUCAACCCUUACAGGAAGGACAUCACCAAUUCCGGAAAGGAUGCUGCGCCAGUCAUGUUUCCGCACUCUGUGAGACGUUGAAAUCUCCAGAAGUUGCCCAAGGUUUUCAAGCUGAACACAGGAGAAAUGACUCUGGAUCUCUGAGGACUGUUUUCCUCAAUAAGGAGCUGCAAUCUUGGCUCCACCACCCUCCCUCCAAAACAUCUCGUGUGUCUGGUAUCUGGUUAUAUUGUGGCCUGACAGAGAAGUUUCUUUCGGGGCCAGUGAAUUAAAAAAAAAAAAAAAAAGAAAAGCGGGUCCUACCAACUCAUUAAUACUUUAAUACUUUAAAUUUCCCUCUUUAUAGUAGGUUGAAAUGUCAGUAUCUCUUAAGAACAAUGGCUGAACCAAAUGUUUCCUCAAAACUCACAUUUUUUCCCACCAUUUCAGAAGCUGCCUCAGGACUAAGCUUUGAUUUUUUUUUUUUUUUUUAAUCUGGCCCAAAUUCCUAUCUAAGGGGCCUGGGGAGUCAUGCCCAACAAACCAUAAAUUCUCAUCAGAUGAGUUUUAUUUAACCCUAUAUAUGGUGACUUGCUUUCCAGUCUGACUCUGGCAUGACAUGUGACAAAGAAGAAAGUCAAAAUAUUUUACCCCAAAACAUGUUUCUUUGCCAUAUUUUGAAAUGGUCCUGCAAAGCUGUGCUUUGUGGGGGAAAAUAUGCAUCUGUAAAGAAUCUCUAUUAACACAGCUAGAUCUUUUUCUUCCAGGCCCUCCCAAUCCUGAAGAGACUGAGAGUCUAGCAUUGUUUUAAAGGUCUGAAUAGGAAACAUUUGUCAUCUAUCAUCUCUAAGGGUAGCCAUUAUAAGACUUCAAAAGAACCUUUUGAAGUAUUAUAAUCUUUUAUCUUAACCUGAACAUGUGCUUCCUAUUGAUCCCAGGUCUUCAGACAAUUGUGAACUCAACCAUUUGUCAAUUAGAAAAUGUUUAAAUUGGCUGGGCACAGUGUCUCAUGCCUCUAAUCCCAGCACUUUGGAAGACCAAGGCGGGCAGAUUGCCUGACCUCAGGAGUUCGAGACCAGCCUGGGCAACAUGGUGAAACCCCGUCUCUACUAAAAUACAAAAAUUUAGCCGGGCGUAGUGGCAUGCACCUGUAGUCCCAGCUACUUGGGAAGCUGAGGAAGGAGAAUUGCUUGAACCCGGCGGGCAGAGGUUGCAGUAAGCAGAGAUCGUGCCACUGCACUCCAGCUUGGGCAACAAAGUGAGACUCCAUCACAGAAAAAAAAAAGAAAAUGUUUACCUUUACCUAUAGCCUGGAAAUCCCUGCUUUGAGUUGCUCCAUCUUUCUGAACCAAACCAAUGUUAUUUCUUAAACGUAUUUCAUUGAUGUCUCAUGCCUCCCUAAAAUGUAUAAAACCAAGCUGUGCCCCGAACACCUUGGGCACAUGUUCUCAGGACCUCCUGAGGGCCGUGUCACGGGUCAUAAUCACUCAUAUUUGGCUCAGAAUAAAUCUCUUCAAACAUUUUACAGAGUUGACUCUUAGUCAACAUGUCCAUACCUGAUGAGAUGCUUCAUCAAAAUUCUAGUGGACUGGCUAGUUCAGAAAAUGGACCAGCCAGGUUUGCUUAAAUGCACCCCUGCACAACUAUCUCACUCCUGCUUGGAGCCGGCUAGAUCAGGAGACCUGUCCCUAAACUAAUGUACUCCAUGUCUUAAGUCUUUUUGUUUUGUUUUGUUUUUGUUUUUGACAGAGUCUCAGUCUGUCACCCAGGCUGGAGUGCAGUGGCGUGAUCUUGGCUCGCUGCAACCUCCGCCUCCCAGGUUCAAGAGAUUCUCCUGUCUCAGCCUCCCAAGUAGCUGGGACAACAGGUGUGCACCACCAUGCCCUGCUAAUUUUUGUGUUUUAAGUAGAGAUGGGGUCUCACCCUGUUGGCCAGGCUGGUCUCAAAUUCCUGACCUCAGGUGAUCCACCCACCUCGGCCUCCCAAAGUGCUGUAAUUACAGGCAUGAGCCACCGCACCCAGCCCAUGUGUCUUGGUCUUUUUUACUAAUAUUGAUUAUAAAAUGGAUGAAACUUUGGAUAAAAUUUCUGCGUUAGAAUUUCUUUUUAUAUCUGUCCUAAAGCUUGUAACUACUUGCUCAUGAUUUUUUGUGUAUGUUUAGCAAUGUGCAUGUCAUUGAUGGCCUUUGUAAAGUAUGUUCAAUUGAGUUGUGGAGACAGAGGUGCAAUUGGAGUAGGUUGUAAGAAUAAAAAGGAGUAGGCAAAAA